GGGAAGGUUGCUCAGUGGUAGAGUGCUUGCCUUGCAUGCAUGAGGCCCUGGGUUUGAUUCCCCAGCACCA
rfam:Dipodomys ordii contig_18668, whole genome shotgun sequence.